rnacentral:lncRNA from 1 species
CCUAGACCUGAAGAAAGAACGAGGCCAAUGACGGGAAGGCAGUGAGGUUGGUUACACAGAGAAAAAGACAGUCUCGACCCACCACCACUUAGGCCAGAGGGGAACCUGCUUGGAAAACACCAUAUAUAGCCAACAAGGGACCCACCACUUCACCACCACCUAGGCCAGAGGAUAACCUGCUUGGAAAACACCAUAUAUAGCCAACAAGGGAAAUGAGAUGCAUGUACUGUAGCACCUACUGCCUGACAAGCUUCUGCUCCUUAGAGCACCACCUCUCACCCACUACNNN